AGUGCCGAGGUCAUGCCAGCCUACACGUAGGUUAACCACCUUGACCUUGUGAAGGAAGCUGCAAAAGCAUUUAACAGAAGGGACGCUUUAGACAUUUAUGUGAGGGGUAGAAAUGUAUUUUGUUUGGCGAACAUUACAGUUUGUGUACAAAACUGGUUCCAAUCAUAAACAACAAAAUGCUGUGAUUUUGCUCAUCAGCAACCACUAAAAGAAAGCCAGCACACAGCACAAUAAACAGACAGCAAAGCUGACAUGCUGGAGUACAACAUAAACCAUCACUGUUCUCUCAGAACACUGGUGAAGAAAAAGCUGAUUCACUGGAGCAGUUGGACAAAACAAAUGAUGGAAGACAUCAACCAGGCAGACCAGGACAAACGGCAUGAAACCAUAAAACAGUGACGAUGUCAAAAUGUUGUUUCUUUUAUAAAAGCAUCUGUCGUGCACCGACACGUGUGAGAAGAUGACUGAUGACUUGAAUGAUUACAGCUGCCUUCCUCAAGGUCUCACUCAUCCAACUGUAAAUCUAAUUUAAUGUUACGAUGGAUGUGCCUUGAAAGCACAAUGAAACAGAUUACAGAAGAGGCUUCUGGAGGAUGGAGGGCAACC